GUAAGAAGCAUGGAGCUGACCUGCUCCUCUGCAUCCCUUUGGUAUCCGUGUGCCAUAAUAUUCCUGAUCUGAGGUGGUUGCUGGCAUCCUGGGUUUGAAGAGUUUUGCGGUGGCUGUUCUUUUCCCACCCCGGUUCAUUGCCUCUCUCCAUAGGAGCAGCUAAGCCCAUCGGGCAGACCAUCCCUCUGGAACCCACACCCACAGCGCCUGUGUUCUGUUUGAUGGCAGGCUGCCUUCCAUCC